rnacentral:rRNA from 1 species
AACGAACGCUGGCGGCGUGCUUAACACAUGCAAGUCGAACGCGAACGGUUUCUUCGGAGACCUAGUAGAGUGGCGCACGGGUGAGUAACGCGUAAGUAAUCUACCCUGAUAUCUGGGAUAACAAUUCGAAAGGAUUGCUAAUACCGGAUACGUUGAUUUAUCAAGAAAGAUGGCCUCUUCAUGAAAGCUAUUGUAUCAGGAGGAGCUUGCGUACCAUUAGCUAGUUGGUGGGGUAAUGGCCUACCAAGGCGACGAUGGUUAGCGGGUCUGAGAGGAUGAUCCGCCACACUGGAACUGAAACACGGACCAGACUCCUACGGGAGGCAGCAGUGAGGAAUAUUGCGCAAUGGGGGCAACCCUGACGCAGCGACGCCGCGUGGAUGAUGAAGGCUUUCGAGUCGUAAAAUCCUGUCAGAUGGGAAGAAGUGGUAGUUGGUUAAUAUCCAACUAUUUUGACGGUACCAUCAAAGGAAGCACCGGCUAACUCCG